rfam:Schistosoma margrebowiei strain Zambia genome assembly, scaffold: SMRZ_contig0012761
AUCCAGCUGACAAGUCCCAAAUAGGAUGAAACGCAUAUUCUGGAU